rnacentral:rRNA from 1 species
UGAGGAAUCUUGCGCAAUGGGGGAAACCCUGACGCAGCCACGCCGCGUGGGUGAAGAAGGCCUUCGGGUCGUAAAGCCCUGUCAGGUGGGAAGAACCGUAAAGGAGCCAAUAACUUCUUUACUUGACGGUACCACCAAAGGAAGCACCGGCUAACUCCGUGCCAGCAGCCGCGGUAAUACGGAGGGUGCAAGCGUUGUUCGGAAUUACUGGGCGUAAAGCGCGUGUAGGCGGCUAAGUAAGUCGAAUGUGAAAUCCCUCGGCUCAACCGAGGAAGUGCAUCCGAAACUGCUUAGCUUGAGUCCCGGAGAGGGAUGUGGAAUUCCCGGUGUAGAGGUGAAAUUCGUAGAUAUCGGGAGGAACAUCAGUGGCGAAGGCGACAUCCUGGACGGUGACUGACGCUAAGACGCGAAAGCGUGGGUAGCAAACA